rnacentral:lncRNA from 1 species
AAGUCUGACUCUAAGCAACUUCUGUCCUGCUGCUGGCUGGACAGUGAGAGUGUCUGUGGCCAUUAUAGGUACUUUCCUGCUGCUGCUGUUGCUGCUGCUGCCGAUGGGGCAAGUCUAAGAACUCUCUGAGGUUUCCAGUGAGCUUUACUAGGCAGCAUCUUUUCUUUUCAUUACCACCACCUUCAUGUUUAAAAAGCAGAGGAUACCAUAAAAGAUACAAACAGGACUCUUCAACUCUGUGCCUGGAAAGCUAGGUUCUGGGGUACAUCUCUUUCACUUAAAAUUACAAUAUCAACAAGGGUCAAGUGAGAGAGGUAGACUGGUAAGGAGAGGACCUCCAUAGGAGUCUGGAAAUUUAUAAUUUAAAAGGGAAGGUUUGAUAAACCAGGUCCAAACAUCCAGGUAGGUUUUUUUCUCUCUCUUUCUUUCUUUCUUUCUUUCUUUCUUUCUUUCUUUCUUUCUUUCUUUCUUUCUUUCUUUCUUUCUUUCUUUCACAUCUCUUUGUUGCCAAGUUGCUAUUCUUUGACCUAGUCUGUAUUUACUUUUUUUUGUGUGAUUAUCUCUCUAUCACCUUGUUCAGUAGUUUCAGGCUCCAAUUUCAUUGUGUUUUAUGUGCAAAGACCUUCCAGGAGCACCAACAUAUAAGCCUUUCUAUAGCCAUUUGUUUCUUCUAUUUGGCAUGGAGACGAUGCUUCAAGAAGGGAAGGAGUCCCAAAGUACAUGCUCAAAGCAGCCUCAUUCUGACGGCUUUUCUCCAGUAUUGUGACUCACAGAAAAACCACUGGAAAAUUGGAGACCUGGUUUGUUUAAAUCUGAAUAGAUCAGAACUUGGAUUCUUGCAACUUAGUCACCACCUCGAUUGUUGUAGACAAAUGUCAAAAGCCUGUGAGUCACUGUGAGCUUCUUCUGUACCCCGUUAGCUGUUUGAGACUCCUCUGCUUUCCCUUUCUAAAUAUUUUCCCACUUUCCUGUCCAUUCUCCAUCCACACACCAUGUGUUAAUAUGGACUUCAUCCUUUUAUUGCAAAUGCUUUUUCCUGUCUUCAAGGUGACAUUUUUCCUUAAGAGCCUCCCAACCUGCUAUGGCCUUCAGGCUUAAGAGAAACUUCCUUAGCCUAGCUUGUCUUAUGUCUUUCAUAGUUCCUCACAUUUGUUUUUUGGUUUAUGCACUACCAAACUGUUUAUAGUUCCCUGAACAUAUCAUUCUGUGUAUGUCUUGUGUAGUUAGCUGUAUCCUUUGUUGGAAAAUUUCCAAAAUUUCCAAAGUAUCCAAAAUUUGCAGCUAUGAAUGAAUGAUUUUUCCCCGUAAGGCUCGUAUCCCUCACCACUUCUGUAAUAUGCUUCCCACGGUGCUGGUAGGUCAUAGUAUUCAGAUAGGGGCAGUGGGGAAAAUACCACUGAUGCCGAACUUCACAAGUUUCUUAUCCUACCUUUUAACUUUAGCUCUGGUGACAGCCAAGUGUGUACACGUGUAACCUAAUAGCACCAUACCACAGCUGAGUCUCACCUCUCUCCUUCUGCAGCUCACUCUGCUGCUAUGACUCAAGUGUAUGUGUGCAUCUAUAAGUGCAUUAGAGUCAGACCUCACAGGAAAAUCAAGAUAAUGAGGGAUGUGUGCCAAUGUGGACUCUUCUUUUAGUAUCUUACAAAGAAAAUUCUAGGAUGCCCUUUAUAGGGUUCUGGAAAGGAUCUUUUAAGCCAUACUUGGCCAUAAUAGUACGAAUUCUAUACAGAUUCACAGAUAUAAAUUCCUUUGUCUCUUGUGCUUAUUGGGACAACUUCUUAAAGAAACUCCCCCCCCCACCACCACACACACACACACAGACUCUUUCUCCAGUUUGAAUUUGGCUGGACUCAAACUAUGACAGAGAAGAAACAAGAACAUGGAACACUUUGUGGAUUUUCAGAAUCCCAUAUAUUCUCUUUCUAACACUGAGCUCUCAUGCACAUGUUUAAAGGAGUGACUGAAACAACAAAAAGUUUAAGGAAUCAAAACUAUUCUGCAUUCUAUAGGGGAACUCAAUUGGAAGUAGAGUUUAGUUUAAAGGUGGAAUGGAAUGGCUGGUACAUUUGGAAGGAAGCCAGAGAGCCAUGUAGGUACUCAGUACUCAGAAGAGGAGGGGACCAGAGGAGAAGGAACACGAGGAAGGGGGGAGAGGAAGGGAAGGGCAUAGAAGGAAGAAGGGAGGGAGAUGAAAUCAAAGAAACUUAUUUUCAUAUUUAAAAAGAAUGAAUAAUGGUGGAUGAUAAAAGAAGUACACAAUAGUUUCUUAUGGAGUAAAGUUUACUAAGAAAAGGUUUUAAUAUAGAGCUGAGCAUUAGUAUUAUUGGCAAGAGAGAGGCACUUAAGAAAAUAACAUUAUACACACAAGUGUAGCUGUGGGCUUCUCAAGAGAGAGUCUCCUAAUAUAAUAUUUUCAUUUUAAAUGUCAAUUUUGAAUUAUGCAUAGUCUUUCUUUUCUUUUCUUUUCUUUUCUUUUCUUUUCUUUUCUUUUCUUUUCUUCUUUUCUCUUCUUUUCUUUUUUUGAGAAAUGUGAGCAAAAUCUGGAGAUCAUUGGAGCUUUCAACUCUAUUUGGCUCAUGUUGGGAGGGUCUGAAGAGGCUUUCUGUAGCAAGGUGGUUAAUAAGCACACCUUUGCCUGGUUACCCAAUAAUGAUUGUCAGGUGCCAACCCCUAAAUGAAAUAAAGCCAGGGAACAUUGGGGAAGAGGGAGCUGAAAGAGGGUAAGAGCCAGGGGCUUGAAGAUAUGGCUUGGUGGCUAAGAGUGCAUAUGCUCUUCCAGAGGGACCAGGACUGUGUACCCAGGACUUACAUCCGGUGAUUCCUUAGUCUCUUUAACUACAGAUCCAGGUGACAUGACACCUUCUUCUGCUUAUUCAUGUACCCAUAUAUAGGUGGCAUACAUGCACAUAGAUGUAGAUAAAGAAUAAAAUAAGUUUUGAACACAUGCAGUAGCUGGAGUAUGGGAAAGAGUCCUAUGAAGUUCCAUCUUGUGGAGGUGACAUAAUGAGUAGACUCAUGAGCUCACAGCCACUGUGGAUGACCACAUGAGUAUGAGCUCAUUAACACUGCAUCAGGGGUGAUCCCCUAACUCUCAGAAGGAGCCGUUACCAGCUAAUGGUUGCUAAGAAGGCAAGUGCCGUUUUCUUCAAUGGUGGAGAUGUUAAGUUGUCUGUGCUUCAGUAAAUAAUUUACCCAUAUUCAUAUAAGCCUCCCUAGUUAAACUCAGUAUAUUAGAAAGGGCAUGAGAGUAGGGAAGAGAUUGGCUGGGCAGGAGUUGGGUUUCAGGAGUGGAAGGGGGCAAGAGAGAAUAAUAGAAGGUGGAUAUGAGCUCAUUAUAUUUAUGCGUGAGAUUGUCAACAAAUUAUGUUAGAUUAAAAUUAAAU